CCUCUAGCUCACGCCACUGCCAUCCCCACCAGCACCCACCAGCAGAACUCACAGCCCUUUCUCUCACCACGGCACCCCCAGAGACCGAAAUGAGGCAGACACAGAAAUAUUUGUUGAGUGUGUUAGAAAUGAAAGAUUAAAGAUCUAACCCAGGAAAAGCCAGAGGUCUGCAGGCCCAGACUGAGACCCCUGUGCCCAGGUCUCCAAGGCACGGACUUCAUGGAUGGCACCCGGCACGCAAGGCGGAGCAGCCUGGGAGCCAGCAGAGCCACCUAACUAAUUAGUGCCCGGGAUUUUGUGCCCUCCGCCAUCGCUUCAGUGUGCAUGCAUGCGUGUGUGUGUGUGUAUGUGCGUGUGUGUGUAUGUGCGUGCGUGUGUGUGUGUGUGUGUGUUGGUACACAACUCCAUCCUCCCCCCAGGAGGGAGGCCCUGCAAGGUAACAGUGGGCCUGCAGAGCCGGGGCGACAGCAUAGCUGCUGCUCCCAGAGCUGACGUCGCCAGAGACUUGGCGCUGCCCACCAGCAUCCUCACACCGGCCCUGUGAAGUAGGGCCCCCAUCUCACAGAUGAGGAAAUAGGCUCAGGAGUUACACUGAAAGAGCAGCUGCAAGACUUGAACGCAAAGCCCACACUCCCAACCAGAGUGCACUGAGCUUAAAUGCAGGAGGCCAGCCAGGCACGAUCUCGAAGAAAAAAAAAAAGGUAGGGUUUCCUUGGUAGGCAGAGAGCAAGAAGCAGAAAUGAAUCAGCAAGGGUGAAAGAGGAGAGCGUGGUGACUUGGGAGUUGGAACCGAGCUCGGGGAGAAUGCCGGCCCCUGCAGGUUGAGCUGGGCAGCCCAAGGCCCUGGAAGGCAAAAGGCCCCAAACCUGAGCACAGCGCAGAGAGGGAAAAAGCCAGGCUACCAACCUGCCAUCAAAUUUGCACAGCCUACAUCACCCACUUGAGAAAUCAGCCGCCGCUGCACCGCCAGCCAACACCGUGCCUAAGCCCAAGACCGCAUCCAAUCCCUCCUGCUAUUUCCUGCGCCCGACAAGUGACUGCAGGCAGCAAGCUUGUGAUAAGCCGGCUGGGUGAAUAAAUCCGUCCAUGCAUCCAGAGAAGGAAGUCAGGCCGGGCCCCCAGCCCGAGCCGGGGAGAAGGCUCAGGAGGAGGGCUACAUUUCAGCCGUCUCCACGAUUCCUGCCACCUUCAGGGGGGACACGCACCAUGGGAAACUGAAGUCUACCUCGCAAACGCCAGCCAGGAACGACACUAACGGUUCUCGCCCACAGCCAGGAGCGCUGGAGGAGAGGCGCCCUGGCCGCUCCCGUCCGCUGCCCGCCCUCUUUUCUCUUCCCUCCUAAACCUGUUCUACAGCCCGUGAGAGGAGAGCCCGUCACACACACGGAUACUAAUAGGUACAUAAAUAGGAAGUGAUUUUUG